GAAAUGGAUUUCACCAUGCUAAAAUAGCAAAUCAGGGGUGGAGGCAGAGGGGACAAGGGUAGCCUUGGCCUCCAAGCCUUUUAAAGUCAUAUAUAUAUAUAUAUAUAUUCUUGCAUUCCCACCAAACUGACCAAAGAGCCUUAUCUUUUUCAAACCCAUUACAUCUCCUUUCAACUGUUGAAACUAUAUUUUAUUGGGGCUUCUUUAUUAAUUUCUCAUAUUUUACAUGUUCAAGUACCAUUAGCAGUGUUUUAAAAAUUAUUAUAGAUAUUCAACCUCAUGUUCUUCCCAUCUAUAUAAGCAUACCCUUUAACAACCGUACAACGCUGUAUCAACAUUUGGUUCAUUUCCAUAUAGUAUGGUUCAAGAGGUAGACCAGAGCUUCUUCGUUAACUUGUUUUCAUAACACUGAAAAUUUAAGAGGGUGCCAGUGUACCCAGAUUGUACACAGAGUAACACAAAGCUGAGGUUUGUUCCAAAUUUGGCUCUAUUAUUUGCAUUUUAAAAAAAGACUUGCAGGCAAAUAUUUUCAAUCUAUUGGCUCCUCUGCCAUUUUAACUUGGCUGGCAGCUGCUGGAUCUGGAAUCAUAUAAUUGGUAUGUGUAUGUCCUCUUAUAUUUUCUCUCGAGUUAUUUCCUCUCUUUUGUUUUGAGAUUUGGCCCUCUAUUUCUAGGAGAUUUUCUUGAGUCUUGAUAUUCAUAUUCUUUGAUUUAACUAGGCUUAAGGAUCGAUGGAUAGUUUGGGGUGGGAUAACUCACAAGUCCUCACAAAUACUUCACCCUUGUGGAGCAAUCCACAACAUGCAUCACCCUUGUGGAGCAAUCAAGAAAAUGAAGAAAGCUUGAAUAUUGCCUCCAAUUCAAAUUCUUGCCUUUUCGGUCGCAAGAUGGAUCUCACAGAAGACAUCUUCAAUCAAUUUCAAGACCUCCAAAAGCGCCAAGAGGCUACAAGGAUAGCUGAAAUUUCAGUUGCUGCAAAAUCAGGAGCUGAAAUGAGUUGGAGAGACGCUUCAACUCAAGAAUUAUACUCUUCUCUUUCGAUCGACAAGCCUUACGCCAUAACUACUCCUACCAUCACUGGUUUUAGCAUGAGUAUUAAUCAAUCAAGAAUCAUCAAUAGCCUACCAAAUGGAAAGGCUGGUGUUUCAGUGGCAGGUUCUCUUGAGUCUUUCGAUUGCUUGCUCUCAGCAACUAAUAGCAACACCGACACAUCAGUAGAAGACGAUGGGAUUUCCAUGAUCUUCUCUGAUUGCAGAAACUUGUGGAAUUUUGGUGCUAACAGUGCGGUUUCAUCUGGAGAGUCUGAGAACAAUACUUCCAAUGCAAGAAACAAAGAAAUGCAUUGCCGGCUAAUUAGCGAGCUUGAUGAAGCUGUUUCCCAGAGUUCUUCAGAUAAAAAAAGUUCACCAACGAAGCCUGUUUCUAUAAAGAGAAGUGACGAUCGAAGUGAGCUCAAUGUGGGUGCCAAUAACAAGUAUCCUCAUUUUGAUCUUCUCCAAACUGAUUGUUCUACUUCAGACGGUGGUUUUAGGCUUCUUUCAGAGAACCCACCAAAGCCAAAGAGAUUCAGAUCGGAUAAGCCUCCAGGGUCAUCAAACAUCAAUUUUCAGCAGCCUAGUUCAUCGGUGUCUGCUUCUAUUGAGGAGGUUGAUCCAGAAGCCAUUGAACAAAUGAAGGAGAUGAUUUAUAGAGCUGCAGCUUUUAGGCCAGUGAAUUUUGGCUUGGAAGUGGUGGAGAAGCCAAAGAGGAAGAACGUUAGAAUAUCAACUGAUCCUCAAACAGUGGCCGCCAGGCAAAGGAGGGAGAGGAUAAGCGAGAGAAUUAGGGUUUUGCAGAAUCUGGUCCCAGGAGGAAGCAAGAUGGAUACUGCAUCAAUGCUUGAUGAGGCUGCAAACUACCUCAAGUUCUUAAGGUCACAAGUCAAGGCACUGGAAAAUCUUGGCCACACGCUUGAUUGUCCACCAACGAACAUUGCUUUCUCUUCUUUACCAUUCGAUAACCUCUCUUUUCCCAUGCAAACUCAUCACCUUUUCACUCCAAAACCCAAAUCAUGUUCACCACCCUCAGAGUUGAAAAGCUAAUUUAAAAAAAAAACCCAAUAGUAAUGGAUCCUUUAUCAUGGUACUUAUCAUCAUCACUCCCAUAUCCAAUGAUUUGAUUAAGGAUCCAAAGCCCAUUUUCUAGCCUGAAAACAAGUACAAAAGCUAAUCCAAUAUCAUUACCAUAAUCUUGAUCAUCAUUAUAUUCCUGUGACCCAGAGUUAAAAGCUUUCACUAAUGAUAGAUUUCCUAAUUAAUACCAUCAUCAUUACAUCCACCUUCCAAGACCCACAAGGGAAAAGAGUUUCGUGCGGUUAGUAUUUCCUCUACUGCUUUUUGCUGCUUCCACUAUAGUAAACAAAUUGAAUGAAACUGUGGGAGAUAGAAAAAUGAUAGUGGAAAUAGAAAAAACUGGGAAGGAAGUGGUUCAGGUACCAUUGCCUUGUCUACAAAAAGGGCAUAGCAAUUAUAACGCCUAUGAUUAAGAUCAAGGGCUAGAAAGUGACUAUCACUUUAGCUUGGUUUACUAUAGUUUGUUUAAUGUAUCCAAUGUACUUAAAGCUCACCUUUCUUGGAGAUCUUUAUGAUGUUUUUUAAUGAAAUUUGUUAGCUAACCAAUGCAAGAGACAUUCUUUUAAGAGUUGUGAGGUCCUGAGUCUGUGGUCCUGUCGACCUGAUUCAAUCCAAAGCGUGCCCUUGAAAUCCCCCCAUAGUUAAUUGCUUAGCACAUGUUUAUGCUUCUUUUUUGGCAGAGGCUCCAAUUUAUUAUAUAUUAGUUAUAAAAUUUAAUUUAAUUAAAAACCCUUUUCUCCACAUUUUAAAUUCUAUCAUUCCUUCAACUUUUAACCACCUAAUGAUCCUGAUCAUGAUGAUGGGUUUAUGAUCUUAAAUUUUGGUAUGUGGGUUUUGGUUUGCAGUUUUAUUUUAUUUUAUUUUUAUUU
rnacentral:misc_RNA from 1 species